GGCCAUGUAGCUCAGUGGAAAGAGCGCUUCCCUCCGGAGGAAGAAGUCCUCGGUUCGACCCCGAGCUUGGUCG